CUCCUCCACAUCGAAGGAGCGCCACGACCGAUGUAGGCGUCUUCCAUGAAGUGCGGACAAAACCGAAUCGAAUAAUCCUUGGGAAGGCUUCCCCAAAAACAUGAGCAUGGACGACAUCCGUAAAAUAUUUCAGGAGCAUCAACGAUAAAGAUAGAUUUCCGAGUGAAACCAAACCACCGAAGAAGAAUCCAACUACAUGCGCCCYUCAUACAGGGUAGGAGGAGGGRCAACAUACAAAAACAUCGUCYGACAUUCAAUUACAAACACGGUAGGUUUCCCACGAAGGCAACAAUAAACCCAGCCAAAAUUAAUGGAUUGGUACGCAAGAGAUGUGGAAUUCAUCAGUUGGCCGCAAGAAAGCAGGGAGCCUGACAAAAAACUCACAUCGAUAACAACUCACAUGCCGCCACGGCCACAACCCAACAAAGCCCUCUGCCUUCCCCCACCACGCCG
rnacentral:misc_RNA from 1 species